rnacentral:rRNA from 1 species
CCUACGGGUGGCAGCAGUGAGGAAUAUUGGUCAAUGGACGCAAGUCUGAACCAGCCAUGCCGCGUGCAGGAUGAAGGCUCUAUGAGUUGUAAACUGCUUUUGUACGAGGGUAAACCCCGAUACGUGGAUCGGGUUGAAAGUAUCGUACGAAUAAGGAUCGGCAAACACCGUGCCAGCAGCCGCGGUAAUACGGAGGAUACGAGCGUUAUCCGGAUUUAGUGGGUUGAAAGGGUGCGUAGGCGGUUUGAUAAGUUUGAGGUGAAAUGUCGGGGCUCAACCCCGAAACUGCCUCCAAUAAUGUUUGACUAGGGAAUAGUUAGGGUAGGCGGAAAGUAUGGUGUAGCGGUGGAAUGCUU